GGGGACCCGCACAAGCGGUGGAGCAUGUGGUUUAAUUGGAAGCAACGCGAAGAACCUUACCAAAUCUUGACAUCCUUUGACCGCUCUAGAGAUAGAGUUUUCCCCUUCGGGGGGACAAAGUGACAGGUGGUGCAUGGUUGUCGUCAGCUCGUGUCGUGAGAUGUUGGGUUAAGUCCCGCAACGAGCGCAACCCUUAAGCUUAGUUGCCAUCAUUAAGUUGGGCACUCUAAGUUGACUGCCGGUGACAAACCGGAGGAAGGUGGGGAUGACGUCAAAUCAUCAUGCCCCUUAUGAUUUGGGCUACACACGUGCUACAAUGGACAAUACAAAGGGCAGCUAAACCGCGAGGUCAAGCAAAUCCCAUAAAGUUGUUCUCAGUUCGGAUUGUAGUCUGCAACUCGACUACAUGAAGCUGGAAUCGCUAGUAAUCGUAGAUCAGCAUGCUACGGUGAAUACGUUCCCGGGUCUUGUACACACCGCCCGUCACACCACGAGAGUUUGUAACACCCGAAGCCGGUGGAGUAACCAUUUAUGGAGCUAGCCGUCGAAGGUGGGACAAAUGAUUGGGGUG
rnacentral:rRNA from 1 species